rnacentral:rRNA from 1 species
GUGCCAGCCGCCGCGGUAAUACAGAGGUCCCAAGCGUUGUUCGGAUUCACUGGGCGUAAAGGGUGCGUAGGCGGUCGGGUAAGUCUGACGUGAAAUCUUCGAGCCUAACUCGGAAACUGCGUCGGAUACUAUUCGGCUAGAGGAAUGGAGGGGAGACUGGAAUACUUGGUGUAGCAGUGAAAUGCGUAGAUAUCAAGUGGAACACCAGUGGCGAAGGCGAGUCUCUGGACAUUUCCUGACGCUGAGGCACGAAAGCCAGGGGAGCAAACGGGAUUAGAUACCCUAGUAGUCC